rnacentral:rRNA from 1 species
AGAGUUUGAUCCUGGCUCAGAAUGAACGCUGGCGGCGUGCUUAACACAUGCAAGUCGCACGAGAACGCUUUAGCUUGCUAGAGCUAGUAAAGUGGCGCACGGGUGAGUAACGCGUGGGUAAUCUACCCUCGAGUCUGGAAUAACCCCGCGAAAGCGGAGCUAAUACCGGAUAAUAUCAUUUUAAUUGCGAUUAUUAUGAUCAAAGGUGGCCUCUAUAUAUAAGCUACCGUUUGGGGAUGAGCCCGCGUACCAUUAGCUAGUUGGUAGGGUAAUGGCCUACCAAGGCUACGAUGGUUAGCUGGUCUGAGAGGAUGAUCAGCCACACUGGAACUGACACACGGUCCAGACUCCUACGGGAGGCAGCAGUGAGGAAUUUUGCGCAAUGGGGGAAACCCUGACGCAGCAACGCCGCGUGAGUGAUGAAGGCCCUUGGGUCGUAAAGCUCUGUCAAGUGGGAAGAACCCGCAUAUGAUCAAUACCCAUAUGCGCUGACGGUACCACUGAAGGAAGCACCGGCUAACUCCGUGCCAGCAGCCGCGGUAAUACGGAGGGUGCAAGCGUUAUUCGGAAUUAUUGGGCGUAAAGGGCGCGCAGGCGGCCCGGUAAGUCAGAUGUGAAAGCCCGGGGCUUAACCUUGGAAGUGCAUUUGAUACUGCCAGGCUUGAGUAUGGGAGAGGGAAGUGGAAUUCCUGGUGUAGAGGUGAAAUUCGUAGAUAUCAGGAGGAACACCGGUGGCGAAGGCGACUU